rnacentral:lncRNA from 1 species
AACUUUCCAUUUUUGGAAACUUCAAUUACAAGUCACUUUCUAUUUUUGGCAGUUUUUGUCCUGACUUGAUUUUCUUCAUUCUUAAGCUUUGAGAUGUCAUUCAACACUUGUUCCAACAUGAAUGAAGUGUAUCCAACUCAUUUCCACCUCCAAAUCCAUCAAAUCAUGUACAGUUGACCACAAUUGACUUUUUCAUCUGAUAGAUGAAUCUGGCAAUGCAUAGAUCAAUCUGAG